GCACUCGCUUCAGCAGCACAAAUACUAAAAUUGGAAUGACACAAAGAUUAGCAUGGCCCCUGCACGAGGAUGACACCCAGACUGGUGAAGUGCUCCAUAUUUGG